rnacentral:rRNA from 1 species
UACGGGGGGUGCGAGCGUUGUCCGGAAUCACUGGGCGUAAAGGGCGCGUAGGUGGCGUCGUAAGUUUGUGGUGAAAGCCCGGAGCUCAACUCCGGGUCUGCCGCGAAUACUGCGAGGCUUGAGUACUGUAGGAGGGGGGUAGAAUAUCGGGUGUAGCGGUGGAAUGCGUAGAGAUCCGAUAGAAGACCGGUGGCGAAGGCGGCCCCCUGGGCAGUAACUGACACUGAGGCGCGACAGCGUGGGGAGCAAACAGG